UCUUUCCCUUCACCCUCUCUCGCGACAUACCAGAGAUUACCGCUUCUCGCACUGUGACCACAAUCCUCGAUGUGUCGUCAUCUCUCCAACAGGCUUUGAGCAUCCUCUCUUUUGACCCACAAACCACAAACCCCUUCUCUCAGCAGCAGCAGACUGUUACCUCAUUUGCCAAUUCUACAUUUUCAUUUUCGCUUCAGCUUCAAUCUCGUGAAACCAUCCAUAAAACCCAACACGAGGACUAUAAAAGCUUGGUCAUGUCUCGACUCGAUCGAGACUCUUCCCGAGUGAAAGCCAUCAUCACCAGGGUAGAACUCGCCCUCAAUGGUAUAUCCAAAUCUGAUCUCAAGCCCUUGGACGCUGAGAUCCAGCCCCAGGAUUUAUCAACUCCGGUUACUUCCGGCACCAGCCAUGGAAGUGGCGAGUAUUUCUCUCGGGUUGGAGUCGGGAACCCGGCAAAGUCCUACUACAUGGUUUUGGAUACUGGAAGUGAUGUGAACUGGCUUCAAUGCCAGCCCUGCUCCGAUUGCUACCAGCAAGCGGAUCCCAUCUUCAACCCAACGGCGUCGUCUAGCUACGCCCCAAUAUCUUGUAAUUCUGCGCAGUGCAACUCUCUUCAAAUGUCUAUGUGCCGGAGCGACCAGUGUCUUUACCAGGUCAAUUACGGCGAUGGAUCCUUCACCAUGGGCGACUUCGUCACCGAGACGCUGUCGUUUGGGAGCUCGGGGACCGUCAACAAAGUUGCUUUAGGCUGCGGUCAUGACAAUGAAGGAUUAUUUGUCGGCGCUGCUGGGCUGCUCGGACUGGGGGGUGGCCCUCUCUCACUCACAUCACAGCUCAAAGCGUCGUCGUUUUCUUAUUGUCUAGUGAAUCGUGACUCAACUGGAUCUUCCACUCUGGACUUUAACUCGGGCCUAGUCAGCGAUGCAGUCAUAGCUCCCUUAUUGAGAAGCAACAAAAUCGACACAUUUUACUAUGUUGGACUCACCGGGUUGAGUGUCGGCGGCCGGUUGCUUUCCAUUCCACAAUCCGUUUUCCAGAUGGACGACUCGGGUAACGGCGGGAUCAUCGUCGACUGCGGGACCGCAAUAACUCGGUUGCAGAGCCAGGCAUACAACUCACUGCGAGACGCGUUCGUGAGCAUGACACAAAACUUGAAACCCACUGGCGGUGUGGCUUUGUUCGAUACUUGUUAUGAUCUGUCAGGGCAAACCAGUGUCAAGGUACCUACGGUGUCGUUCCAUUUCUCAGAAGGAAAGUCGUGGAACUUACCGGCGGCGAAUUAUCUGAUCCCAGUGGACUCAGACGGCACAUAUUGUUUCGCAUUUGCUCCAACGACGUCGUCUUUAUCGAUUAUAGGAAACGUGCAGCAGCAGGGCACACGUGUGAGCUUUGACCUGGCUAAUAAUCGAGUCGGGUUCUCGAGCAAUAAGUGUUAAAAGUAGUGUUGGAUUGGUCAUUAAAAUGACCUUUUUAUCCCUGGUAAAGAAGGUGAUUGGCUAUAGUA
rnacentral:misc_RNA from 1 species